CAAAACAGUGUUGAAAUACAUUAGAUAAAUUCAAGAAUUUAUCGAAACAGCAUUGAUUUAAUCUCUCAAAAAAAAAAAAAAAUUAAGAUGGCCGUCAUGAACAACAUAAUUAUCGUCAUAUUCCUCUUUCUUGCCCUGGCUUCUCAAUGUUAUAGCCAGUGCGACCAGUUUCUUGAUCUUCAUCUUACGCAAAAACCAACAGGGGCUAAAGUACAAGGAAAGCCAGAGUGGCUAGUAAAUAUAAGCACCACAUGUGCUGUAUGUGAUUUUCGGGAAGUAAGUAUAUUUUGCUUAGGAUUUCAAACCGUGGAGCCUAUAAAUACAUCAAUUUUGGGCAAAGAGGAAAGAGGACUUUGUCUUGUUAAUAAUGGUCGACCUAUUUCUAGAUCGCAUCCUGUUACCUUCAAAUAUGCA